rnacentral:sRNA from 1 species
UUGAAAUGUUUGCAUGUGACGCGCUCUU